GACGAACGCUGGCGGCGUGCCUAAUACAUGCAAGUCGAACGCAGUGGGGACGGGUGCGUAACACCUGGGUAACCUCCCAUCAGAGGGGAUAACCCUUGGAAACAGGUGCUAAACCGAUACUGAUGGAUGGACCCGCGGUGGAUUAGCUAGUUGGUGGGGUAACGGCCUACCAAGGCCACGAUGCAUAGCCGGCCUGAGAGGGUGACCAGCCACACUGGGACUGAGACACGGCCCAGACUCCUACGGGAGGCAGCAGUAGGGAAUCUUCGGCAAUGGACGAAAGUCUGAUCGAGCAACGCCGCGUGAAUGAAGAAGGUUUUCGGAUCGUAAAACUCUGUUGUUAGAGAAGCGGUAUCUAAAGAGAAAGCCACGGCUAACUACGUGCCAGCAGCCGCGGUAAUAC
rnacentral:rRNA from 1 species